rnacentral:tRNA from 1 species
GGGGGAGUACCCGAGUGGCCAAAGGGGACGGACUGUAAAUCCGUUAGCACAGCUUACGGUGGUUCAAAUCCACCCUCCCCCA